rfam:Picea glauca, whole genome shotgun sequence.
UCUGGUGUCCGAGGUGUAGAGGAACCACACCAACCCAUCCCGAACUUGGUGGUUAAACUCUACUGCGGUGAAGAUACUAUAGGGGAAGCCCUGUAGGAAAAUAACUCGGUGCCAUGA